rnacentral:tRNA from 1 species
UCCCGAGUAGUUCAGCAGGUAAAGAAUCUGCCUGCAAUGCAGAAGACCUGGGUUCAAUCCCUGGAUUGGGAU